UACGUAGGUGGCAAGCGAUACUCGGAAUCACUAGGCGUAAAGCGCAGGUAGGCGGUUUGGUAAGUCUCUUGUGAAAGCUCCUGGCUCAACUGGGAGAGGUCAAGGGAAACUACCGGACUAGAGUGUGGUAGGGGAUACUGGAAUUCCUGGUGUAGCGGUGAAAUGCGUAGAUAUCAGGAGGAAUACCUAUGGCGAAAGCAGGUAUCUGGGCCAUCACUGACGCUGAGCUGCGAAAGCUAGGGGAGCAAACAGG
rnacentral:rRNA from 1 species